rnacentral:rRNA from 1 species
AUUGAACGCUGGCGGCGUGCCUAACACAUGCAAGUCGCGCGAGAAAGUGGGCUUCGGCCCGCGAGUACAGCGGCGCACGGGUGAGUAACACGUGGGUGAUCUACCUAACAGAUUGGGAUAACAGCGGGAAACUGCUGCUAAUACCGAAUACGAUCCAUUUAAUCGUGGAUGAAAGGCGGCCUCUGCUUGCAAGCUGUCACUGUUAGAUGAGCCCGCGUCCCAUUAGCUUGUUGGCGGGGUAAUGGCCCACCAAGGCUUACGAUGGGUAGCUGGUCUGAGAGGAUGACCAGCCACACUGUGACUGAAACACGGCCCAGACUCCUACGGGUGGCUG